UACGAAGGUCCCGAGCGUUGUUCGGAAUCACUGGGCGUAAAGGGAGCGUAGGCGGCAAGGUAAGUCAGGUGUGAAAUCCCGGGGCUCAACCCCGGAACUGCACCCGAUACUGCUUUGCUAGAGUAAUGGAGGGGUAGCUGGAAUUCUCGGUGUAGCAGUGAAAUGCGUGGAUAUCGAGAGGAACACUUGUGGCGAAGGCGAGCUACUGGACAUUUACUGACGCUGAGGCUCGAAGGCCAGGGUAGCGAAAGGG
rnacentral:misc_RNA from 1 species